CCUCCAGUGAGGGGGAAGUGCUUGGGAAUAAGCCUGCUGCCUGGAGGGAAAGCACAGCCCCUCCCUGAUUAGAACCCUGGCCCAGAGUUAGUGCUCAACCAAAGAAGAAAGUAAGGUUCUUGAUCCAGCAGUGAUUGGUCUUGACUUGAAGACCUUCCAUCGUCCUGUGAGCCCUCUUCAAGCUGCUCUUCAAGGUGUCCCU
rnacentral:lncRNA from 1 species